CUUAGAAUGUCACCAGCCGGGAGGGGCCUCUCCAGGAGAACCUCCGUCCAAGCUCAGUCCCGGGACCCGCGCGACCUAGAGGGAAGGCGGACAAAGGUCACUCGGCCUUUCAGGACCAAAAAUCAGAGCUCCCGACUCCAGUUCUCCCCAUCAGGUCUGUGACAUGACUCAGCCACUUUCCAGAGGAGAGCCCAGAGAAGUCCAGUUUUUAAACGACGGUCACACAGCUACACGCCAGGUCUCCCUGUCCAUCACCGUCUCCUGGAGUUCACUCAGACUCACGUCCAUCGAGUCCGUGAUACCAUCCAGCCAUCUCAUCCUCGGCCGUCCCCUUCUCCUCCGAACUCUAAACCUCUAGAAAGGAGUAUGUUCAUCUAUUGAUUCCCCCAACAUUUACUGAGCACCUGCUUCAUGCUGGGCAUUGAGCUGGGAGACCAGGGAACAAAUAGUAAAUGAAGCCCAGACCUGCCCUCAGGGAGCUUCUACUCUUAUGGAAGACAAAUAGUUAGGUCUUUGUUAAUAUAAAGAUUAUGUAGUUACAAUCUGGCAGCAAUAAAAGAUGCUUUAAUGGCAG
ensembl:lncRNA